rnacentral:rRNA from 1 species
GGCCAGACUCCUACGGGAGGCAGCAGUGGGGAAUAUUGCACAAUGGGGAAAACCCUGAUGCAGCGACGCCGCGUGAGCGAAGAAGUACCUCGGUAUGUAAAGCUCUAUCAGCAGGGAAGAAGAUGACGGUACCUGACCAAGAAGCUCCGGCUAAAUACGUGCCAGCAGCCGCGGUAAUACGUAUGGAGCAAGCGUUAUCCGGAUUUACUGGGUGUAAAGGGCGUGCAGCCGGGAGUGCAAGUCAGAUGUGAAAUCCCGCGGCUCAACCGCGGAACUGCAUUUGAAACUGUGCUUCUUGAGUGCUGGAGAGGCAGACGGAAUUCCUAGUGUAGCGGUGAAAUGCGUAGAUAUUAGGAGGAACACCAGUGGCGAAGGCGGUCUGCUGGACAGUAACUGACGGUGAGGCGCGAAAGCGUGGGGAGCAAACAGGAUUAGAUACCCGCGUAC